AUUAAAUUCAAACCUAUAGUUUUUUUUUAAUAUAAUUUUGGGACUCACAAUCCCAGUUUUUAUAUUAUUUUUCUCUCUUCCUCUCACGUUGCUCGGCGUUUUCUCGCAAGGGAGGAUUAUUUUCUUUUUCUUCAGGAGCGAGUCCGGCCGAGAAAGCACCAGAGGUGUAACUAUAGUGUAUGAGACACCAUCUUUUACGUUGCCUCUUAUUUUGGAUUAUACAAUGUAUCUUGUGCCAACUUAGGACAUAUCUUCUUUGUGAAGCAUGUAAACUCUAAUCCUUUUUAUUAAAAGUAUUUAUAUGACCAAGAGGAUUAUAUCUGUCCCUCUUGAUUCAUGACCUGAUUUAAA